rnacentral:rRNA from 1 species
UACGAAGGGGGCUAGCGUUGCUCGGAAUCACUGGGCGUAAAGCGCACGUAGGCGGCUUAUUAAGUCAGGGGUGAAAUCCUGGAGCUUAACUCCAGAACUGCCUUUGAUACUGAUGAGCUUGAGUCCGGGAGAGGUGAGUGGAACUGCGAGUGUAGAGGUGAAAUUCGUAGAUAUUCGCAAGAACACCAGUGGCGAAGGCGGCUCACUGGCCCGAUACUGACGCUGAGGUGCGAAAGCGUGGGGAGCAAACAGG